GGGGCAACAUCUCGAAAGGGAUGCUAAUACCGCAUACGUCCUACGGGAGAAAGCAGGGGAUCUUCGGACCUUGCGCUAAUAGAUGAGCCUAAGUCGGAUUAGCUAGUUGGUGGGGUAAAGGCCUACCAAGGCGACGAUCUGUAGCGGGUCUGAGAGGAUGAUCCGCCACACUGGGACUGAGACACGGCCCAGACUCCUACGGGAGGCAGCAGUGGGGAAUAUUGGACAAUGGGGGGAACCCUGAUCCAGCCAUGCCGCGUGUGUGAAGAAGGCCUUAUGGUUGUAAAGCACUUUAAGCGAGGAGGAGGCUACUUUAGUUAAUACCUAGAGAUAGUGGACGUUACUCGCAGAAUAAGCACCGGCUAACUCUGUGCCAGCAGCCGCGGUAAUACAGAGGGUGCGAGCGUUAAUCGGAUUUACUGGGCGUAAAGCGUGCGUAGGCGGCUUAUUAAGUCGGAUGUGAAAUCCCCGAGCUUAACUUGGGAAUUGCAUUCGAUACUGGUGAGCUAGAGUAUGGGAGAGGAUGGUAGAAUUCCAGGU
rnacentral:rRNA from 1 species